rnacentral:rRNA from 1 species
GACGAACGCUGGCGGCGUGCCUAAUACAUGCAAGUCGAACGAAGCUGUUUUAACUGGUGCUUGCACCGACUUAAACAACUGAGUGGCGAACGGGUGAGUAACACGUGGGUAACCUGCCCCAAAGCGGGGGAUAACCUUUGGAAACAGACGCUAAUACCGCAUAACCACAGCAACCACCUGGUUUCUGUGUCAAAGAUGGUUUCGGCUAUCACUUUGGGAUGGACCCGCGGCGUAUUAGCUAGUUGGUAAGGUAAUGGCUUACCAAGGCAAUGAUACGUAGCCGAACUGAGAGGUUGAUCGGCCACAUUGGGACUGAGACACGGCCCAAACUCCUACGGGAGGCAGCAGUAGGGAAUCUUCCACAAUGGACGAAAGUCUGAUGGAGCAACGCCGCGUGAGUGAAGAAGGUUUUCGGAUCGUAAAACUCUGUUGUCAGAGAAGAACGUGUGCGAGAGUAACUGUUCGUGCAGUGACGGUAUCUGGCCAGAAAGCCACGGCUAACUACGUGCCAGCCGCCGCGGUAA